ensembl:lncRNA
UGCAGGUGUUUGAAGACAGUGUGUGUGUGUUGUGUUGUAGGUGUUUGAAGACAGUGUGUGUGUGUUGUGUUGUAGGUGAUUCCAGACAGUUUGUUUAACCCAGUGUGUUGUGUGUGUGUUGUGUUGUGUUGUAUGUGAUUCCAGACAGUGUGUUUAACCCAGUGUGUGUGUGUUGUGUUGUAUGUGAUUCCAGACAGUGUGUUUAACCCAGUGUGUGUGUGUUGUGUUGCAGGUGUGUGUCAAGGCGAUACAGGGAGGACUGUUAACCAUGUGCUACAGUGGCUAGGGUUCCCCAUCAUUCCCAGGGCCUCCCAUCACUGUCUUUCUGUCUGUGGUGCCACCCAUCACUGGCUGAGGAGGAGAGGGCCUCCCAUCACUGGCAGAGGAGGAGAGGGCCUCCCAUCACUGGCAGAGGAAGGAGAGGGCCACCCAUCACUGGCUGAGGAGGAGAGGGCCACCCAUCACUGGCUGAGGAGGAGAGGGCCACCCAUCACUGGCUGAGGAGGAGAGGGCCACCCAUCACUGGCUGAGGAGGAGAGGGCCACCCAUCACUGGCUGAGGAGGAGAGGGCCACCCAUCACUGGCUGAGGAGGAGAGGGCCACCCAUCACUGGCUGAGGAGGAGGAGGGCC